AUGACCGCGAAGAAGCCAAAAAAGGAAGCAAGAAAACUGACGGCGCGGUCGCCGCCGACGAACAUCACCGCGGUGAAGAUGGCUCUGCCGGCCCGCGACGACUACGAGUACCUAACCCCAGCGCUGGCGCUGCCCCCGGGCGUCUACUUCAACCCGACGAACGAGGAGAUCGUGCGCACCUACCUCAACGGGUGGAUCGCCGGGCACGGCACGUCGGGCGCGGAGGCGGCCGUCGUCAUCGAGGACGACGUCUACGGCGACCAACCCGACGUGCUGGCGCGCAGGCACCCGCCGGCCAGCACCCGCGACUCAGACCCCAGCUGGUGGUUCCGCUGCCACUGCAAGGUGCAGGCCACGCGCGGCGGCGGCGGCGGCCACCGGGGCGACCGCGGCGUCGCCACGGGAGGCUUCUGGAAGCUGGAGCAGACCACGAAGGAGGUGAGGUGCGAGGCGGACGGCGAGCACCUCGGGUUCAAGCGCACCUUCGGGUUCUACGUCGAGCACGAGGGGGAGAAGGAGAAGACGCGGUGGCUCAUGGAGGAGUACACCAACGUCGACUCGCCGGACGAAGGCGCCGUUCGCAACGACGGCAGGAACGUCCUGCCCGCGCUCUACAGGAUAUACCUCACCCCACGCGAUCCCGGCAAGAAGAGGAGGAAGACGAGUGGCAGAGAUGUCGGGGACGACCACGUCGAUGGUGGGCCUGUGAAGGCUGCCCGCGUGAUGGUUCCGGAGGCUUGCUUACACGCCAUCGCGGCGUUGCUGUCGCCGUCGAGCGCUCGUGGUGCCGGCCAGGAGGAGCCGCACGGCAGCUUUGAAGCGCCGCCGCCGCCACCUUCGGGCGUUUUCAGUGAGUACCGAGGUGAUGAGGCCGCGACGUCGGACGAUGAUCAGAGCAUGACAAUGAAGGAGAAUCUCCUCGAGGAGGCGCAGGGAAGCACCGGCGGCGACGACUCUCCUGAGCUGCGUGUUCUCGUUACGAUGGACGACGGCAUGCCGGCGUGGGAGAUGGGCAUGGGCGGCGGAUACGUUUUCGCCGACACGUCUUGGAUCGACGAACACUACCAGAACUCGGAAUGA
rnacentral:rRNA from 1 species